GUAAUUACUGUUUAAUAACACGUUGUUGCAUAGUAACCGCUUUGCAUUUUACAUGGUAAUAUCAACAUAUUUCUUAGUGUGACAAUGACAGCAAUGGAGUUGACAAGACAGCACAAACAGAUCUGGGACUCGGGCUACAUAUGUUCAUACUCAUCUUUAAAUGUCAUAUCAGGAGGUGGAGGAUUAUCACCAGUGUCACCAGGGUGGAUCCUCACAGGCACAUUCAGAGAGGUCCUGUAGUGCAGAGAUCCCUGUCCUCAGCCAAGGCCUCAUCCCUGUCCUCAGCCAAGGCCUCAUCCCAUUGGAACACACAACAAUGGGGUCACCCUCCGUCUCAACCCAGACCUUACACCCCACCCACUAGGCCUCAAUGCACAGGGAACUGUGGAAACGGCCAGAGCGGUCAUAGAGACCAGAGAGCGUUGGAGAGCUCCGACUGCACAGAGAGAGACGGUCAGGCUGUGUAGUUACAGAUGACAGUAACAGCCAGGCUAGGGUUAUAGGCGAUCGGUACGUCCCACCUCGUCCUCUGUCUGAAUCACAGAGCUCUGCGGUCCACCAACAAAAAUGGCAGCCACCAGAACACUAGCAACACAAGAAACACGAGGAAUGGGGACACAGACUGUCACCAACAUCACCUCGAAAUGUCCAACAUCGGGAUGUUUCAACUCGGUGCAGUUUCUGGACUUGAGUCUAAAGAGAACAACCUCGUGGACUCUGAAUCCCACAACUAUUCUGCUUAAAAUGUCAUACCGAUCCCAACCACCAGAGGGCAGGCCCGUCACAGAGAUGAGUCUAUGAGACAACAGACAGACAGAGCAUUAUCAGACAGAUCCAGGAGGGAGAGAGAAGAGCACACGCCCUGGAGAAAAUCAACAGCCAGAGAGCUCAAGGCUGGACCUGGGCACCACCCAUCAAUCAUCCCUUUAAACAAGUGUCGUAACACUAACACUGAGAAUUGAGUGCAUUCAGAGACCCACUACCUCUGUACUAGACGCUCCCCUCGUCACCAAUGAUGUAAAAGUUUGUUGCAGUUUUCUUACGGACCAAGAUUCAUGAUGUCAUAAGAUUUGAGAGGUAAGCAGCUGCAGCAUAAAGGACAGGAAGAAGAAUAAGAGGUACAGGACCCUGUUCAGAAUGUUCCUCUUAGAGGAGACCUUCCAGAUGAGAGAGAGGAGAAAAGGAGGUCACUGCUGAGAGCAUAGUUAACAGGCUUUCAGAGGAGGUUGAGACACUUCAGGAAAGAGCAGGCGUUCUGCUCAUGCUGAAGCAGAGGAAAAAAGAUUAGUGAAAAGGGAAGGAGAGGAGAGAGGUGGGGAGGACAGGAGAGGAGGGGAGGGGAGGUCAAAUCCCGACGUAUCCCUUUAAGAGUUGUGAACAACACUAGCAACUACAGUACAUCCCUUCACCACAGGAUAUGUUUCUGCAUAUUUAAACAUUUAUAACAAUGCCCUUGUGGAUUCUACAUUAAAACGAAAGCCAGACAUGGCAAGAU